GGCGGCGUGCCUAAUACAUGCAAGUCGAACGAACUCUGGUAUUGAUUGGUGCUUGCAUCAUGAUUUACAUUUGAGUGAGUGGCGAACUGGUGAGUAACACGUGGGAAACCUGCCCAGAAGCGGGGGAUAACACCUGGAAACAGAUGCUAAUACCGCAUAACAACUUGGACCGCAUGGUCCGAGUUUGAAAGAUGGCUUCGGCUAUCACUUUUGGAUGGUCCCGCGGCGUAUUAGCUAGAUGGUGGGGUAACGGCUCACCAUGGCAAUGAUACGUAGCCGACCUGAGAGGGUAAUCGGCCACAUUGGGACUGAGACACGGCCCAAACUCCUACGGGAGGCAGCAGUAGGGAAUCUUCCACAAUGGACGAAAGUCUGAUGGAGCAACGCCGCGUGAGUGAAGAAGGGUUUCGGCUCGUAAAACUCUGUUGUUAAAGAAGAACAUAUCUGAGAGUAACUGUUCAGGUAUUGACGGUAUUUAACCAGAAAGCCACGGCUAACUACGUGCCAGCAGCCGCGGUAAUACGUAGGUGGCAAGCGUUGUCCGGAUUUAUUGGGCGUAAAGCGAGCGCAGGCGGUUUUUUAAGUCUGAUGUGAAAGCCUUCGGCUCAACCGAAGAAGUGCAUCGGAAACUGGGAAACUUGAGUGCAGAAGAGGACAGUGGAACUCCAUGUGUAGCGGUGAAAUGCGUAGAUAUAUGGAAGAACACCAGUGGCGAAGGCGGCUGUCUGGUCUGUAACUGACGCUGAGGCUCGAAAGUAUGGGUAGCAAACAGGAUUAGAUACCCUGGUAGUCCAUACCGUAAACGAUGAAUGCUAAGUGUUGGAGGGUUUCCGCCCUUCAGUGCUGCAGCUAACGCAUUAAGCAUUCCGCCUGGGGAGUACGGCCGCAAGGCUGAAACUCAAAGGAAUUGACGGGGGCCCGCACAAGCGGUGGAGCAUGUGGUUUAAUUCGAAGCUACGCGAAGAACCUUACCAGGUCUUGACAUACUAUGCAAAUCUAAGAGAUUAGACGUUCCCUUCGGGGACAUGGAUACAGGUGGUGCAUGGUUGUCGUCAGCUCGUGUCGUGAGAUGUUGGGUUAAGUCCCGCAACGAGCGCAACCCUUAUUAUCAGUUGCCAGCAUUAAGUUGGGCACUCUGGUGAGACUGCCGGUGACAAACCGGAGGAAGGUGGGGAUGACGUCAAAUCAUCAUGCCCCUUAUGACCUGGGCUACACACGUGCUACAAUGGAUGGUACAACGAGUUGCGAACUCGCGAGAGUAAGCUAAUCUCUUAAAGCCAUUCUCAGUUCGGAUUGUAGGCUGCAACUCGCCUACAUGAAGUCGGAAUCGCUAGUAAUCGCGGAUCAGCAUGCCGCGGUGAAUACGUUCCCGGGCCUUGUACACACCGCCCGUCACACCAUGAGAGUUUGUAACACCCAAAGUCGGUGGGGUAACCUUUUAGGAACCA
rnacentral:rRNA from 2 species